rnacentral:rRNA from 1 species
CGUGUAGGCGGGAUUGCAAGUCAGAUGUGAAAUGUCGGGGCUUAACUCCGAAGCUGCAUCUGAAACUAGUAGUUCUUGUAGUGCUGGAGGAGGAAAGACGGAAUUCCUAGUGUAGCGGUGAAAUGCGUAGAUAUUAGGAGGAACACCAGUGGCGAAGGCGGCUUUCUGGACAGUAACUGCGCUGAGGCGCGAAAGCGUGGGGAGCAAACA